UACGUAGGCGGAAUAUUAAGUCAGUGGUGAAAUCCUGCGGCUCAACCGCAGAACUGCCAUUGAUACUGAUAUUCUUGAAUGUAGUUGAGGUAGGCGGAAUGUGUAAUGUAGCGGUGAAAUGCUUAGAUAUUACACAGAACACCGAUUGCGAAGGCAGCUUACUAAACUAUGAUUGACGCUGAUGUACGAAAGCGUGGGGAGCGAACAGGAUUAGAUACCCUGGUAGUCC
rnacentral:rRNA from 1 species